rnacentral:rRNA from 1 species
GUGGAUUAGAUACCCUGGUAGUCCACGCCGUAAACGAUGAUAACUAGCUGUCCGGGUUCAUGGAAUUUGGGUGGCGCAGCUAACGCAUUAAGUUAUCCGCCUGGGGAGUACGGUCGCAAGAUUAAAACUCAAAGGAAUUGACGGGGGCCUGCACAAGCGGUGGAGCAUGUGGUUUAAUUCGAAGCAACGCGCAGAACCUUACCAGCGUUUGACAUCCCGAUCGCGGAUUUGAGAGAUCAUUUCCUUCAGUUUGGCUGGAUCGGUGACAGGUGCUGCACGGUCGUCGACAGCU